UGUUGGAACUAUUCGAAACAACACAGCGAGUUAAAAUAAGGCUUUGUCCGUACACAACUUGUAAAAGUGGCACCCGAUUCGGGUGCAUUUUU
rnacentral:sRNA from 20 species